CGUCAACAAUAUUAAGGUAUUCAGAGGAGUAAUCAGUGGAUUGACUUCAGCUUUGUUUCCUGCAAAGCUUGCUCUCAGUGAAAUUUGAAAGAGCCGCUAGAAAGAGGUGAUCCAGGAUGCAGGACGAGCAGAUGGGAGCUGGUGUCAUAAUAUAGGCUGGAAUGUGGACGUGCUGACCGUAGUCAGACCUACCACUGUAGCCCAUCAGAUGGAAGCCAUGUGUCAAGGAAGGCAGAGCCACAAAGAAGACACAGCCUAAGCCCUCGAAUCAUCAAAAGGCCACUCUAGUUGGGACUUCAUGUGGCAGAGAAAUGCAUUCUCUUCGUUAAGCCUUUGUAUUUUGAGGUCUGUUUGUUACAGCAUUAAAACCUACAUCCUAACCUUC